rnacentral:lncRNA from 13 species
UUCUGACUGACAGGUUGGAGAGCAGUGCAUGUACACAGUGUUAGUAAGGUUUUCAUUCAGGGUUGAGAGGACCAGCCCUAGAGCAAACACAUGAGGCACCCUUGACCAAUAUCAGGUGGCAUUAGGAGGCCAAAGGAGACAGCUGAGGAAUUGAAUUAUUCUCCCUGUAUGUGAUGGGCAUUCACAGGGGCUGGGAAAAGGGGGACAUUGGUGAGACGGAUGAACAAUUGCCCCUUUCCUCUGAUUUGCGCCUGGGUAGUGAUGGUCUCAUUGAUUCUAGCGCAGGGCACACCACAUGUUAAUGUGACCGCUGGUGGUAUGCAAGUGCAUCCUUAAAGUUGUCCUGAAGCCACAGCAGAAAGAAACUAGAACUACUGCAAAAAAUGUUUCUGAAGGUGUAGCAAGCAGUCAGGAGCACCACCAGUUGUCACAAUGUGACCCCAUGGCCAUCACCAAAACAAGAUCAAUGAGUUUAGCCUAAAUGACACUACCAACCCUAACAUGGGAGAUGAACAUAACGCAUCCCAAAGGAACACCUUUGACUGCCUGGAAUCUCCUAGGUCCAGAUGAAUUGUAGCAUAUAGAAUUCCCAGUAGCAAGCGGUUCACUGACAAGUCAGUGAAUUGCGAGGCCCUCUUGUGGACAUUUCAUGUAAUCUAUUUACACAUCAGUGUAGGACUUUACAAAGGCAGGAAGAAACAUUUAUGCAAUCAUUUAUUGUCAAACCAAUCAGAACAGAAAGCAAACUGGUUAACAUUUUGUUAAUAGGUCUCUGCUGGGCCAGUAGCCUAUUCUACCACCCCUCCACACACACAUGUAGUAGCCCACAGAAUUGUGGAACUCCUAGAGGUAGUGGAGGGAAGAACAGAGCUGAAACAAGUCAGAGGCACACCUAACUUCACUGCUUUUUGUAAAAAAAAGAUUUAAAAAAAUUAAAAACAGGAAACAGAUAACUUAAGUUUCCACAUUAGCAAAAGGAAAAUGAAUGCAAGCUUUAAAAAUGGUAGAGCCAGACUUAAAUAAACAUUAAGCCAGUUAUCAAAUUGUUUGGCACACCUGUUUGGGCCACAGUUGUGGCCACAAGCAUCAAAAACAGAGCACUGUUGAUAAAGAACAUCAUUCUGACUAUAUUCCUGCACUCAGGCCACCUGGACUUUUUAUGUGAGUAGCUAAUGCAGUUAAUUAAAACAAGUGCUGUCAGCUGUGGAACGCUUACUCAAUCAGGACGAAUUACUAACACUAGUUGAACUCAUUGAGCUCUUUGAUUUGAUUGGUUUUGACAGUGGCACUCUAGGCAUUUUAUUGGUUAAUCUAUGUUGUGUUGCAUUGUUGCAGUACAAUCUGCAGGGAAUGAAAGAGGUGACUGCACCACAGAGAUAGAGAACUCUGUAUCUUUGUAUAUGUUCCAUUGAGGCUACCUCCAUUUUGAAGUAGUACAUUUUCUUCUUCAAGACUGGCUGAUCCCUCCUGAUGAGCAGGUUGGACAUGACUCCAACAGGGCCACCAGGUGGGAUCAGCCAAUGAAAUUGGAAGUCCCACCCAGUUGACUAUAUUAACAUCAAGGAAGCCCUCAAUGGCAUGCCCCUGCUAGCAUGGCCUUUUGGCCACUAGAGGCCUCUAUCAUUCUCCAUUGACCACACAUAUUUUUUCUAAAUGCACCCAAAGUCGUUUCAAAUGAAUGCAGACAUUUGUCCAACAUGUUAGACCUUAGUGACUAACAUCAAACACUGAACAAUAUCUCUUGGCAAGAGUUAUCAAUCAUAAUUCCCCAGAGGAAUGCUACUGUGACAGUUCUGUGCUACUUGUUGCCAGUAAGUGUGUUGUCAUAACACAUCCAUAGUUACUCAAUUUUUUCUGACACUGCAGCAUAAAAGGAAUGUUAAACUGUGAUAUGGAUUUUUGAAAGUUAAAUUACUCUCUGCAAUAAUGUUUUGGCUGUGUAUGAAGGGUUGCCCAUUCAUUAAAACAAAGAUUCUUAUUCUCGCUUAUAAACUGUUAAAAUAUGUAGAACAUUGUUUGCACAUACCAAUGCUUGAGGAAAGAAAUAAGGCAACAUUAUUGAUUUAUACAAUAUAGGAUAUGUUGUUUUUCUAGAGUAUAUUUUAAAACAGUUUCAAACUAGGUAAUGGCACAUUACAGUAUAUCUUUCAGUUGCAAUGAUAAAAUGUGUUUGAACUUUUUUCAUACUAAAGAAAAUGUCAAAUGAUUUCAGUAGCUGGUUUGAAAACAUAUUUGAAUAUUAAGGCUAAAACAUUGGAAAUAAAGCAUGUUAUAAAAUAAGUGUCUCUUACAAGUGUUAAAUCUUUGAGGAAAAUGUUGUGGAAACAACAGUUAAACAUUCCCUUAUGUUUCCAGCAUGAAAAUAAAUCUGUUAAAAAAAGACAUUGAAAUACAGUAUGACAUUUGAUUUUGUGACGAUGUGGACAAAUGAUCUGAAAGAGGAAAUGUUCACAAACUAUCACAAAGCUGUCGAGUUUUGUUGCCUUUGGCUUUUUCACAUUCACUAAGAAUUAAACAUUAUAUAACAAACACAGGAAUUGACUUAUAACAACAUUUUAAUAACAAUUGUUGCUGAAUGUUAGUUCUGGUGUAUGAACAAUUGGCAACAUUUCCCAGUAUGUCACAUUCACUUACACAUUCCAAUCGCAAUUCCCAUUUUUGUGUAAAAUGACUUGGUUUUGUUGCAUAGUGCAGCACAGCAAUGUAUACUGAUGGGUAGCCUUGGCAAUAAUUAUAUGUAUUUUAUGCAUAAUCGUUUCAUACGCUUUCUGCAUAGGCCAUGUUACACAAUUAUUACAAUACUUUCUAUACCUAAAAUGUCACCAAAGGAACUGAAUCAUUACUGCUAACAAAAACUUAACAUAUAUUCUGUUCAACUCAGUGUUGAAUGGCAAGGGGCAAAAAAGCUCUGAGGUUAAUCUCAAGACUGAACAUUGAAAAGUGCAUCACACUAUACUCUGUCAAGCUUUAUUCAAAGUGACAGACAACUGUGCAUUGUCAUUCUUUCUGUAAUAAACAAAAAAACUAAGAUAAAUGUUUACUUGUAAUGAAAAUAGGUUCUCAAUGCCAGGUAUGAUGACACUGACCCGAAUGUUUCCUGAAUAUGGCUAACAGCAAGAGCUACCUGGAUACACGCCAAGUGGAGGUCUGAACAUGAACAGGUGUGCACUGCAGGCCAGUAGCAGCUAGGGGUAUUCAACUCCAGUCCUGGAGGGCAACACUGUCUACUGGAUCUCUAUUCUCCCUGAUACAAUGUAAUUGACGGGCCGAGGAGUCCUAAGUCCCCCUAACGUGGGAGUUGAAAAUAAAAAGAUGACAAUAGGGUUGAAAGAGAGGGGCAUAGACAACUGUGGACUCUGGAGGACUGGAGUUGAGUAACCCUGCUGUGUUGGCUUCACAGUGACGUUAGUAGAGUGAUCAGCAGAGGCUUCAAGCUGGCUACAGCUGGCUACAGGAUGGAUGUGGUCCUUUUAGUCGUGCUUCUUUCCUAUAGACUGACCGUACGCAGGCUGGAGUCCAGUAGGAAGUCCACUCCCCUGUGGAGCAUAGAGACAGAGAAGGGCUUUAGGGUUUGAGUUAGCAAGGAUGGGACCUUACCUCAGACACAGUGAAGACCAUUACAAUUUACA